UGUGACACCCUCAGGGUUGAGGAGCGCCGGCGACAAGUGGCUUUCUGCCUGCCGUGGCUCGUGACUGCCGGUGUGCUAGAACCCAGGGUACGAGUGUCUAGAAUGCCCAAGUAUGCACAGCAGCUUAGAGAUCAUGACAGAAAUCCUUGCAUAGCGGAAACAGAUGCCUCUAGAAAAUGUAUGGAUGACAACAACUAUAAAAAGGAUAUGUGUACUGAUUAUUUUUUGAAGUACAAAAACUGCAGAAAAUUUUGGCAUGACAUUAUGAUGCAAAGGAAAAGAAAUGGUGUGAAACCGGAGAUGCCCUCAGCAGAAGAGAGAAAGAAAAUCUUGGAAUCAGUAGAGAAGCCAUACUGACUACAAACUUGCAUUGUUUUACUGUUUUCACUGUACAUACGAAGACUUGUCAGCAGCAGGUUGCCCUCUUGUAAACUGGACUUCACUGUUGCCAUAUCUUGGAUUAAAGCUGACUCGAUGCCAGAGCAGAGAAAUCACAUUAUAUCCUGAAGGAAAUAAUUCAAGCACCUCACCUGGCAAUUCUGCUGAGAUUUGUUCCUUCUGGAUACGCAGCCUUUACUUGGAACUGUCGGCUCUCACCCAAAUUGUUAGUUAGGAGCUUCCCAAAACACAGAAAUGUAACAGGUGAACUCCAGCUGCCUAGAUCACUAUGACAACAUUCAUUUCUUCCAGCUGCACAAACAGAAAUGCAAGAGAUUUGUCAUUCGGGAGAGGGAAGAAAUAGUUGCUUUGGAAAUUCUCCGCCCUUCACAUCAUGGCUUUCCACCUCCGCUCCAACAGAAUAUAGACACCUUAAAAAAGGCAGCAGUUGCCCUUCCAACAUCUGAAGCCAAAAUGCAUGGCAAUUACAAAUCAGCAGGCUUGAGUCACAAGUAUGUGUUUACCUACACAAUUCAUACUCAUCACAGUAACUCAGAGCAGGCAUCUAAGUCCAUUCCCCAGCAUAUGAAUGCUACACAAGAAGCAUGCCCUUGGGCAAGGUGGGCUUUUAUCUUUGACUUAGUUAUGGUGCAAAAGAUUAAUAUUUUCCUUUUGAGCUAAAGGCACAGCUUACCAGUGCUUACACCUCAGCUUUUAGCACUAAGUGCCUGAUUCAAUCACAUCUUCGUUAACACUGGUAUCUAGGUACAUACUCAUGUUUGACAAUUGCUUAAAGAUAAGUUAUUUAUAUCUCUGCAGCUCUGAGCAAAGUUCGCAAAAUGUAGCAUUUUAAUUUACAUGUUGGUACAUGGCAAACAUCUCAAUACCUGGGAAGGAACAGACAACUGCAAGAUCAGAGCGAGUUAGUUCAGAAGGCUUUACAGUGCAAGCAUUAGGACUGGUUUCCAUACCAAUUCUGGUAACAGAAAAACAUUUGUCAAAAAGCAAAGUAGGUCAGGAAACAAGUUCCUCUUUCUCUUCCUAAUUCCCUUUCAAAUGGUGCAAAGUAUACACAGAAGUUCUAGCACAGAAAAGGCAGUAAAACUGAUUUAAGUAUUUCUUACAGUGCAAUAUUUUCAUAGAUACUGCAGUGAUUUUACCUGCAGUAGACUCUCACAUCUGCAGAGCUAUGACAGAUCUGAGCCAAGGUAGAAUUAGAUGGGAGAAUUGUUACUAAAGUUACUAAACUUCACAUGUACCAAAACCAACAUUUUUUUUGUUACAAUUUAUUUGCUGUGUCUAAAACAGAAGUAGGAAGUCUUCAGAGCAGAUGCAGCUACAGAGUUUAACUUCACUAAGUUAAUUAGAAGGGUGAAAGGUAACAUACUUUACUGGCAUGAAAGGAGAUUGGUAUCUCCAGAGCAGAUACGAAUGUUACAGAGAGCUGCAAAACAGUCCUUAAUCCCUACAGAAAACACAAGGGAGGUAACAGCCUUCUGAAUAUAAUAUUCUGUUUCAUCUAAAACCAGUUUCGAGUGUAUCAGCAAUUUAGUAAGUGAUAUAAUCAGGUAUCAGGCUUUUACAGGGCAGAGACAUGCUAGAGCUCAGAGGAGGACUCAUUUUCUCUUGGGGAAGUAGAAUUGGUUUAGGUAUAGGGGUUAUCAAACUCCACACCCCUCACUGAGAUGCUUACCACUUCCCUCUGCUGUGCAUCCCUUAGCCUACCCGUGCCUGGCCCACAGCCCUGUUCUGCCAACUCACAGCACAGGGCUGCUCUGACAGCAGCCUGACAGCCGUAACUAGGAGCACAUGAGUGGGAAUAGAUUUACACGUGAAUGAGCCACAGAUACCUUUGGCACACAUAGGACAAGCAGAUUCCUGCAUUUCCUCACCAGUCAUUCUGGUGACACACAUUGCUUUUAAUACCUCUCCCCCUCCCUCUCACAUCAGUACGAAGGGCUUCUGUGCAGUAGCAAAGUCUCAAGAGGUUUCACAACAGCUUAUCAGUCAGAUUGCUUUCCAGCCACAGAGAGUUUCCAAAACAGACUUGUAUAUGCAGGUUCUGAUGCUGUCAGCUGAGCAGCCCCUGCAGACUUCUAGUGUCCACAAGCUUCAAGGACAGAACUGAGACUACUAUCAUGGAGCACCUUGAGUUGGAAGGGACCUUAAAGCCCAUCCAGUCCUGCCGUGGUCAGGGCUGCUCCCCACCAGCUCAGCUACCCAGGAACCCGUCCAACCUGGCUUUGAGUACCUCCAGGGAUGGGACACCACAGCUUCUCAGGGCAGCUGUGCCAGGGCCUCACUGUGUAAAGGAUUUCUUGCUACUAUCUAACCUGAGUUUCCCCUCUUGUAAUUAAAAGCCAUUCCUCCCAUCCUAUCACUAUCAGAAUGCAUUAAAAAAAUCAGCCUCU